rnacentral:rRNA from 1 species
UGAGUACGAGAGGCUACGGCCUCGAAGCAGUCUAUGUCAUACUUCCAAGAAAAGCUUGCAAUGUCAUGAACACAAUGUCAUAAACAAAUAAUGCCUGUACCAUAACCGACACAGGUGGGUAGGUAGAGUAUACUAAGGGGCGCGAGAUAACUCUCUCUAAGGAACUCGGCAAAAUGACUCCGUAACUUCGGGAGAAGGAGUGCCUUAUUUAUAAGGUUGCAAUAACAAGAUCCAAGCAACUGUUUACCAAAAACACAGGUCUCCGCUAAGUCGUAAGACGAUGUAUGGGGGCUGACGCCUGCCCAGUGCCAGAAGGUUAAAGAAGUUGGUUAGCAUUCGCGAAGCUGAUAACUGAAGCCCUGGUGAACGGCGGCCGUAACAAUAACGGUCCUAAGGUAGCGAAAUUCCUUGUCGGGUAAGUUCCGACCCGCACGAAAGGCGUAAUGAUUUGGAUACUGUCUCGGAGAGAGGCUCGGUGAAAUAGACUUGUCUGUGAAGAUGCGGACUACCUGCACCUGGACAGAAAGACCCUAUGAAGCUUUACUGUAACUUGAAAUUGAAAUUGGACUUUAUUUGCGCAGUAUAGGUGGGAGGCGUUGAUAGUAUCCUUGCGGGAAUAUUGGAGCCAUCAGUGAGAUACCACUCUUGUAAUGUUAGAUUUCUAACUUUGUAUCAUUAUCUGGUCAAAGGACAGUUUCAGGCGGGCAGUUUGACUGGGGCGGUCGCCUCCCAAACGGUAACGGAGGCGUACAAAGGUUUCCUCUGAACGGGUAGAAAUCGUAUCUAGAGUGUAAAGGCAUAAGGAAGCUUGACUGUGAGACCUACAAGUCGAGCAGGGACGAAAGUCGGUCUUAGUGAUCUGACGGUGCUGAGUGGAAAGGCCGUCACUCAACGGAUAAAAGUUACUCUAGGAUAACAGGCUGAUCUCCCCCAAGAGUUCACAUCGACGGGGAGGUUUGGCACCUCGAUGUCGGCUCAUCGCAUCCUGGGGCGGUAGUACGUCCCAAGGGUUGGGCUGUUCGCCCACGAAAGCGGUACGCGAGCUGGGUUCAGAACGUCGUGAGACAGUUCGGUCCAUAUCCGGUGUAGGCGUUAGAAUAUUGAGAGGAGCCUUCUUUAGUACGAGAGGACCGAGAAGGACAUACCUCUGGUGUACCAGUUAUCGUGCCAACGGUAAACGCUGGGUAGCUAUGUAUGGAGAGGAUAACCGCUGAAAGCAUCUAAGUGGGAAGCCCACCUCAAGAUAAGUAUUCUCAUAAAAAG